rnacentral:rRNA from 1 species
UUAAGCGACUAAGCGUACACGGUGGAUGCCCUGGCAGUCAGAGGCGAUGAAGGACGUGCUAAUCUGCGAAAAGCGUCGGUAAGGUGAUAUGAACCGUUAUAACCGGCGAUGUCCGAAUGGGGAAACCCAGUGUGAUUCGUCACACUAUCGUUAACUGAAUACAUAGGUUAACGAGGCGAACCGGGGGAACUGAAACAUCUAAGUACCCCGAGGAAAAGAAAUCAACCGAGAUUCCCCCAGUAGCGGCGAGCGAACGGGGAGCAGCCCAGAGUCUGAAUCAGCUUGUGUGUUAGUGGAACGGUCUGGAAAGUCCGACGGUACAGGGUGAUAGUCCCGUACACCAAAAUGCACAGGCUGUGAACUCGAAGAGUAGGGCGGGACACGUGGUAUCCUGUCUGAAUAUGGGGGGACCAUCCUCCAAGGCUAAAUACUCCUGACUGACCGAUAGUGAACCAGUACCGUGAGGGAAAGGCGAAAAGAACCCCGGCGAGGGGAGUGAAAAAGAACCUGAAACCGUGUACGUACAAGCAGUGGGAGCACCUUCGGGUGUGACUGCGUACCUUUUGUAUAAUGGGUCAGCGACUUAUAUUCUGUAGCAAGGUUAACCGUAUAGGGGAGCCGCAGGGAAACCGAGUCUUAACUGGGCGUUAAGUUGCAGGGUAUAGACCCGAAACCCGGUGAUCUAGCCAUGGGCAGGUUGAAGGUUGGGUAACACUAACUGGAGGACCGAACCGACUAAUGUUGAAAAAUUAGCGGAUGACUUGUGGCUGGGGGUGAAAGGCCAAUCAAACCGGGAGAUAGCUGGUUCUCCCCGAAAGCUAUUUAGGUAGCGCCUCGUGAACUCAUCUUCGGGGGUAGAGCACUGUUUCGGCUAGGGGGUCAUCCCGACUUACCAACCCGAUGCAAACUACGAAUACCGAAGAAUGUUAUCACGGGAGACACACGGCGGGUGCUAACGUCCGUCGUGAAGAGGGAAACAACCCAGACCGCCAGCUAAGGUCCCAAAGUCAUGGUUAAGUGGGAAACGAUGUGGGAAGGCACAGACAGCCAGGAUGUUGGCUUAGAAGCAGCCAUCAUUUAAAGAAAGCGUAAUAGCUCACUGGUCGAGUCGGCCUGCGCGGAAGAUGUAACGGGGCUAAACCAUGCACCGAAGCUGCGGCAGCGACACUAUGUGUUGUUGGGUAGGGGAGCGUUCUGUAAGCCUGCGAAGGUGUGCUGUGAGGCAUGCUGGAGGUAUCAGAAGUGCGAAUGCUGACAUAAGUAACGAUAAAGCGGGUGAAAAGCCCGCUCGCCGGAAGACCAAGGGUUCCUGUCCAACGUUAAUCGGGGCAGGGUGAGUCGACCCCUAAGGCGAGGCCGAAAGGCGUAGUCGAUGGGAAACAGGUUAAUAUUCCUGUACUUGGUGUUACUGCGAAGGGGGGACGGAGAAGGCUAUGUUAGCCGGGCGACGGUUGUCCCGGUUUAAGCAUGUAGGCUGGUUGUCCAGGCAAAUCCGGAUAAUCAAGGCUGAGGUGUGAUGACGAGGCACUACGGUGCUGAAGUAACAAAUGCCCUGCUUCCAGGAAAAGCCUCUAAGCAUCAGGUAACAUUAAAUCGUACCCCAAACCGACACAGGUGGUCAGGUAGAGAAUACCAAGGCGCUUGAGAGAACUCGGGUGAAGGAACUAGGCAAAAUGGUGCCGUAACUUCGGGAGAAGGCACGCUGGUGUGUAGGUGAAGUCCCUGCGGAUGGAGCUGAGACCAGUCGAAGAUACCAGCUGGCUGCAACUGUUUAUUAAAAACACAGCACUGUGCAAACACGAAAGUGGACGUAUACGGUGUGACGCCUGCCCGGUGCCGGAAGGUUAAUUGAUGGGGUUAUCCGUAAGGAGAAGCUCUUGAUCGAAGCCCCGGUAAACGGCGGCCGUAACUAUAACGGUCCUAAGGUAGCGAAAUUCCUUGUCGGGUAAGUUCCGACCUGCACGAAUGGCGUAAUGAUGGCCAGGCUGUCUCCACCCGAGACUCAGUGAAAUUGAACUCGCUGUGAAGAUGCAGUGUACCCGCGGCAAGACGGAAAGACCCCGUGAACCUUUACUAUAGCUUGACACUGAACAUUGAGCCUUGAUGUGUAGGAUAGGUGGGAGGCUUUGAAGCGUGGACGCCAGUCUGCGUGGAGCCAACCUUGAAAUACCACCCUUUAAUGUUUGAUGUUCUAACGUUGGCCCCUUACCGGGGUUGCGGACAGUGUCUGGUGGGUAGUUUGACUGGGGCGGUCUCCUCCCAAAGCGUAACGGAGGAGCACGAAGGUUAGCUAAUCCUGGUCGGACAUCAGGAGGUUAGUGCAAUGGCAUAAGCUAGCUUGACUGCGAGCGUGACGGCGCGAGCAGGUGCGAAAGCAGGUCAUAGUGAUCCGGUGGUUCUGAAUGGAAGGGCCAUCGCUCAACGGAUAAAAGGUACUCCGGGGAUAACAGGCUGAUACCGCCCAAGAGUUCAUAUCGACGGCGGUGUUUGGCACCUCGAUGUCGGCUCAUCACAUCCUGGGGCUGAAGUAGGUCCCAAGGGUAUGGCUGUUCGCCAUUUAAAGUGGUACGCGAGCUGGGUUUAGAACGUCGUGAGACAGUUCGGUCCCUAUCUGCCGUGGGCGCUGGAGAAUUGAGGGGGGCUGCUCCUAGUACGAGAGGACCGGAGUGGACGCAUCACUGGUGUUCGGGUUGUCAUGCCAAUGGCACUGCCCGGUAGCUAAAUGCGGAAGAGAUAAGUGCUGAAAGCAUCUAAGCACGAAACUUGCCCCGAGAUGAGUUCUCCCUGAGACUUUAAGUCUCCUGAAGGAACGUUGAAGACGACGACGUUGAUAGGCCGGGUGUGUAAGCGCAGCGAUGCGUUGAGCUAACCGGUACUAAUGAACCGUGAGGCUUAACCUU